UAGUGCUGUCCGUUCAGACCUGAAAAAUGUCUGAAAAUUCCAGUGACAGUGAUUUAUCUUAUGGUUGGACUGUCAUCCAUCAUGAGGGGUCUGGUGUAGAGAUGGUGAAUUCUGAACAUGGUACAACCAGUGACAGCUGUGAGCUCGCUCCAGAAUGUACAUCUUUAGAGCAAGAGAAGCUACAAGUAUUGCAAUCAGAGGAGGGAAAGAGUAGCUAAAAUGGCACAGUGUUAAUGGAAGAAGAAACUGCUGAUCCAGCUUUGGAAGAAACAAAGUCAGCACUUGAGAGAGAAGAAGAAAAGUCAUCUGAAGACAAUGUCUCUUUUGGAGCUGUCCGUGAUGAUUCUGAUAUUGUUAACCGUAAGCCACCUAAGUUAGAAGAAAUUGGAAAUUAAGAAGCUAUAAUUGUUGGAGAGGCACAGAGUCCAGAAGACUUUAACAUGGGCUCUUUUUCUAGCACCCAGGAUACAUCCUGUAAUCCAGAAACUUUGUUUUCAUCACAGGCUAGUGAUGAUGAAUCAAAAAGUAUUGAAAUCAGUCAUCAGCCUAGUCCUGACUUUAGAUGAUGGCAUGCUAGGAAGAAGAGUGUUCUUAGUUCAGAAUCUGAGGAGCAGCUAAUUGCCAAACAAGAAACCAAACCCUCUAAGGAAUUGUGUAAAUGGCAGUUCAACAGUGGUCUCAAUAAGUGUGUUACACUUGAUUCGUGAUUGCAAUCGGCAUGGGAUUUGGAUAUCUCUAUGGCAUACUUCAGCUUCAGAAACAUCAACAGUCAGAAAGAUACAUGAAGAUGAACUGAAUGAUAUGAAGGAUUAUAUUUCCCAACAGGAAACAGGAACAAGCAUCUUUUAUAGAUUAUAAGUCAUUGAAGGAAAACCUUGCAAGAUGUUGGGACCUUACUGAAGGAAGGAUGUCUUUUGAGACUCAGAAAAAGAACCCUGAUACAUAAAAUCAAUAUUUAAGAAUAUCUCUGUAGAAGGAAGAAAAAGCCUUAUCUUCAUUAAAGGAAGAGUUAAGGAAACUAAGAGAACAGAUUAGUAUAUUGGAAGAUAAAGGGACAGGGACUGAAUUGGUUACGGAAAAUCAGAAACUUAAGCAGAAUCUGGAAAAAAGAACUAAACACACAUAGCUUUCUUAACCAAAGGGAGACUCUUUUCACAGAAGCAAAGAUGCUAAGGAGGGAAAUGGAGAGAGAACAACUAAUAACCAUGGCUUUAAAGGCGGAACAUCAGCAGUGAAACUCUAGUGAGUCAUAUUGCAACUCAGACUCUCCCAAUGUAUUGAGUGAAAAAAAGGACAUAGAAAUCUUAUGGGAAGGACUCACCAAAUUGGAGCAGAAGCUAAACUUUGAACAGCAGCAUUAUGAUUUGUGGGAAAGACUCUAUAUUUAGGCAAAAGAUUGAAAUGUAAAACAAGAAACUGAUGGAAAAAAGAAAGAGGGCAGAGGAAACAACAGGGCUAAAAAUAAGUCAAAGGAAACAUUUUGGGUUUGGUGAAGGAAAAAUUUGAUGCUAUGAAGAAUUCUACCAAGGAUUUUGUGAGGCAUCAUAAAGAAGAAAUUGAACAGGCUAAGGCAGCUGUGAAAGAAAAUCUGAAAAAAAUCUCAGGUUCAGUUAAAUCCACUUUUAGGCAUUUCAAAGAUACCACCAAGAAUAUCCUUGAUGAAAAGGACAAUAAAAGAUUUGGUGCCACAAAAGCAGCAGCUAAAAAGCCAAAAGCUAAAAAGUCUUUUAUUUAAAUAAUUUUUAAAAAUUUUUAUUCAUUUUUGAGAGAGGGGGAGAAAGAGUGAGAGUGAGAGAGAGAGAGAGAGAGGAAGACACAGAAACCAAAGCAGGCUCCAGGCUCUGAAUUAUCAGCACAGAGCUUGACAUGGGAUUCAAACCCAGGAACCAUGAGAUCAUGAUCUGAGCCCAAGUCGAUGCUUAAUCAACUGAGCCACCCAGGUACGCCCAACAACAGUCUUUAGUGAAUGUUUACACUCACAGUAUAGGCACGUACAUAAAACAAGAAUAAUAGAGGUAAAGAGAGUGAAGGAAAGAAAAGCCAAUUCACUCUGAAGAAUUUAGAAAAAAAAUACAAAUUCACAGAAAUGCAGUGCUGAGCAUGACUAAUGAAAAUUAUGAUUUUUUUCAGAAGUCUUGUUCCGGUGUAUUGAAUGUGUUCAACAGGAAUCCAUUCAUUUUUUAAUAUGAAAGUAUUGAAUCCUGUAAGGAUAGAUGAACUUAUUUAAUUAAAAAAUAUUUAGUAGAAAAACUGGAUGGUUUUCAUCAUUAGGAAGAAUGAUCCAUUUAUCAAUGAGUUUUCCUAAAUGGUAUCUUUAUAUAUGAUCAGAGGCUCUUCACUGACUUUGCUAAUGAUGUUAAAGAUUAUCUUAAAGACAUGAAGUGAUAUCAGAUAAUGGUGGAGUGUUGGAAAAGUGGAUGGACAUAUAUAUAUAUAGACACUUCUUUGGUCACACUCUUUCCCCUACUCUUUUCCGCAGUCAACCAGAUAAAAAACAAUGAAUGGUAAAUAUUGAAAACUCAGGCAUCGAAAACAAAAGCAGAAGCACCCUUAGCCACAAUCUUCUAAAAGAGAAUGUAAAUUACAUAAAUAUGGUUGUGGUAAUGGAAGACACAUGGCAGAUCUUGAAAUAGAAUUGGGGCAGUUACCUUUUGACCCUAAAUAUUGAUCAUCAUGGUUAACUUAAAUUAGAAAAUAGUAACAGAAACAUGGAUGCUGUCCACAAUGUUUGGCGUUGAAACUGAAAUGAAAUUAUCAAGAUAAUGUCUAUCAUUCCUAAGUAUCAGUUUGAUGACUCUACAUUAUUACUCAGAAGCAUCAAGCAAAAGCUUACUAACUUGCAUUUUCCUGUAGUUGAGCUUUGCUGAUUUUUUUUUUUUUUGCACUGUAAAUGUUCAACUGUAGUUUUAAGGAAGUCAGGCAUGCAACAGAUUUUGUACAUGCAAUGAAUCUUCCUUUUAGUGUAUGAGCUUAGUGAGCUCAAAUCAUAUGACAAAGUGUAAUUAACACUGAUAUUUGUGUUACAUUUUCAGUAGAGCUUGAAAAGAGUACAUUGUGAUGGAAUUUCAUUUUUAACAUUUUAUAAUCUUACACUUGCUUCUUGUCUUUUUUUUUUUUUUUUUUUUUUUGGCUUCAAGAGCCCCAUUGACUUGUGAUGAAUUUGCUGCCUUCUUAUGAGUUUGCUGACUUGUUCUCUUGUGAAAUUUCUUGGACAUCUGAAUAUUGUAGAAGAAACAAUAAAACUCACCAUGAGGAAAUCUAAAGGUCUUUAUUUAAAAUCUGGCAUUUGUAUUAAAAUAUGAUUUUAUAUUAAAAUAUGAUUUUAUACUUUGUGAUAUGUUUUAUACAUUUCCUCAGUAGUGAUAUUUGGUAAAGCAGUUCACUGUUUUGUUUUGUUUUGUUUUGUUUUGGGUUUUUUUGUUUUGUUUUGUUUUUUUGCUAGUUCCAUGAAUCUUGCCCAAUGUUUACAGGCUUAUUUAUGCAGCAUCUGAAUAUUUCUACCCAGCAAUGUCUAUUUCUAGGAAAGAUUUAAACACAGUUCAGAAUUUCAUCUUCUGGAACAUCUGAGUUUCCCUUUUAAUUUCUAUUCAUAGACAUAUAUGUGACUUCCAGUUUGACCUUCUGGCAAAUGAGUGUGGAAGAACAGAGAAGUUCUCUCAUAGCUGCUUGAGAUUAGGAAAGCUCUUAUUUCCUAGAAGUAAAUAAAUGUUUGAGUAAAUAAAGGCUACA
rnacentral:lncRNA from 1 species